GGGGUGCAGCAGGCGCGAAACCUCUACAAUGCACGCAAGUGUGAUAGGGGAACCCUAAGUGCUUAUGCUAUGCAUAGGCUUUUGCCAAAAGUAAAUAUUUUGGCGAAUAAGUGGUGGGCAAGACGGGUGCCAGCCGCCGCGGUAACACCUGCGCCACAAGUGGUGACCACCUUUAUUGGGUCUAAAGCGUCCGUAGCCGGUUUGAUAAAUCUUUUGUGAAAUUGUUAAGCUCAACUUAACAGCGUGCAGAAGACACUAUCUGACUAGGGACCGGGAGAAGCUAGGAGUAUGUUGAGGGGAGCGGUAAAAUGCUAUAAUCCUCGAUAGACUACCUGUGGCGAAGGCGCCUAGCUAGAACGGUUUCGACGGUGAGGGACGAAAGCUAGGGGAGCGAACCGGAUUAGAUA
rnacentral:rRNA from 1 species